UCACCUGCGCGUCUGUCGCCGCUUCCGAGCCUAACUGGGGCUUUUUCCCUGUCGGCGGGCCCUUUUAAACUGAACUGUUAACAUACCUGGACCUCAUUCUCCUUCAGGCCUCCCACUAAGCCCCAAUAUCAUUUAGGCCUUGGGCCUUUCUGGCCCCUGUAUUGUUGCCCAAGCCUCACUCUUUGGCAUUGGGCCUCAGGCUUUCCUGGCCUCCAUAUUGUUUCCCAAGGCUGUUGCUUUUCUCUCAGGGUGCACUCCCUUAGCCUUUCCCCUUCACAGGGUCACCCAUAAAGCAGUGGGGGCUGAGGCUUUCUGGCACCUCACUGGCUUUCACUAGGGAGGCACUGGUGUGGCAUUUCCUGGGGACUGCCCUGCUACUAGCAGCCCCCACCAUACCAUGCUCCCCAGCAGGAUGUAGUUUUAGGUCAUACCCCAGAACCACCACAGGCCAACCUGCCCUGGUCUUUCCUCCCCUCACUGGGCUCCGGGAUGUUCUCCCUGGGCUACUCACUCCUGGGCACUCUGCUGCAGCCUCCAUCUCAUCACCUACCCUCAGUCACUGGCCCCUUCACUCUCAGGCCCCUUGUAGGCUACCUCCCAUCUGGUGGCUGAACUUCAGCCUCCGUCAUACCAGCCUGCUUGCUGGCUGACCUCCUGUCCUCUCUCAGCAGUGAUGUCCCCCCGCUCUCCCCAAUCAAAGGAACCUCCAGCCUGUGUUAAGCUCUGGACCUGCCUCCAGGCCAGUCGGGGUGCCAGUAGCUCUCCGCAGCCCUGGCCUGCCCCUUGCAGUGGGCUUCCAUGCCCUUCAGCCUGUCAGCCUUGGCCCCCUUGCAUUGACCAGUCGCGAGUCUGAGGAUCAGUCUGGCAGCAGCUGACCUCCCUACUCAGCAGGGGUCCCCCCUUGAACCCUACCAUACAGCCAUCAACUCCCACCAGGGCUGCCUCGUGCCCCAGAGAUCUUCUGUCCAGCAGCCCUUUACUCCACUGGACUCAUCUGAGCCCCUGGCCUCAGUCCCAGCCAGUUCCAUUCAGGGGCUUGCCCAGCCCCUCAGUAGGCCCACGCUCUCUAACCCCUUUCCUAGGCUGGCCUAGCUAUCCUUAGCCCAUAGCCAUUUCCUCAGGGCUUGGGACCCACCCCACUGGGCCCCUAGGAACCUCCUCCAUCCCUAUAGCUCCUGCCCUGACCUCCAGCAUGUUCCUGGGAACAGAAGAGCUCCAGCUGGGUGAUGCUAUUUCAGCAUCAUCCCUACAGCACCUGUUGGCUCUGCUCCUCAGGGCCAAAUCUUAUACUGUGGUUGCUCAACCCUGCUCCAGUAAGGUAGCCUCCUAGCUGUCAUGUGGCCACCUGAUUGCCUCUGCUGUCACCUGCAGGCUGCCUCUCAGCUUGCUCAAGCCCUUAAAGUGUCAAGCACCCAAAGGUGUGCCGCCACACACAUCCCCGCUUAAAAUACUUCUGGGGGGGGGAGGAGGAUGUCCCUCUGCCGCUCCACUUGCAGGCUUGUCUGCAGCCUGUACAAGCCCUUGAAGUGGCGAGCACACAAAUGGUGCUCCUUCUCACCUACUCAGUGCUGGUUACAGCUCGACUGCAUCCAGUUUUGGAUACCAUAUUUUAACACGGCUGCAAAGAAGCUGGAGGGACUCCAAAGGCAAGAGACCCAAUUGAUAAAGGAAUUGGGAUACAAGCUAUAGGAGGAAAGGGUGUGAGAGCUAGGUAGGAUUAGUCUGGAGAAAAGGAGAUCAAGGUGAGAGCAUUGACAGCAGUUUUCAAAUACUUGAAUGGCUGCCAUAAAGAAGCCAAGCUGAGGAUGAAAAGCAAUGGGUUUGAACAGCAGCAGAACAGAUGUAAAUUAAAUUUAGGAAAAAUGUCCUAACUGUCAGGAACUCAUUGGCCAGGGCUGCUGGGAGAUCUCCUUCACUAGAGGUUUUCAAGAACAGGCCAGACAGGCAGCAAGCAGCUGUCUUGGAUGGUUCAGGAAUAGGGCAGCCAACAUCUGUGCCAGGGCUUGAACGACCUUUGAAGGACACUUAAGGUCCUUUCUAACUCUACGAUGAUAUGACAGAUGCAUUUGGUGGGAAUGAGAAGAGAAAUUCCACUGUCAGGUUUUCUUUUUUCCCCCCCGUGCAUAUUUAGCUCAGUGGGAGUCUGGCAAUUAUCUUCCUCUGUGAUAUAUGAAGAUGAGUCCCAUAUACACAGGUGUAGACUGUAUAGUGUUGUAGCAUACAUGCAUGUGUGUGUGGGCACAGGUAUAUGGCCACAAACCCAUGGUGUUGUGUAAUCAGAUUGCAAAACCAUGACGGGUAGAGCCUUUGGUCCACAUGCCUUUCGUCCUGAGGCAGUUAGACAGCAAAACUCACCCCUGCUGUGGUCCUGCUGAGUGCUAGGGGCAUGGGUGUGAGCAGCAGCCACAGCUGGUGAUUCUGGUCCCUGGACUGUGAGGACCAGAUGCGAGCACAGCCCUGCCAUGGGGUGACAGGGGUUGAGCCCAGUAGUCUUUGCAAUGCAGAGGACAUUUGAUGCACAGAAACAUAAAAUCAGGAAAGUGUGUGUGUGUCUGUGCAUGCAGUUUUCAGACACAAUUAAUUAUACAGGUGAGAGGGAAGGCAGCUCUGAUAAAACUUUAACUAGGCUGUGUUUUUCUACAUUAGGCUGAAUAAUAAGCCGCCUGCUAAUUUCCAGGCAUGAUGGGGGAAGAGUCCAGCCCUUUCAUGUUCAAGGAGGGGAGCAUCACAUGCUAAUGCGCUGCUGUGAUAGCGCAGGAGACAAAAAGGCGUUCCUGCUAUUUCCAGAUGAAAGGCCUCUCAAGCUCGCUGUGCUGAAAUGCCCUUUUAGUCUCUGUCUCUCUGCAUUAAAGGGUCACAUCUCCCACUCGCAGCCAGUUCAGCUAAGUAAUUUCAAAGACAUUUCUGUUCAACUCAGAUCAAUGUGUUGGGUCUGUAACACUUUUGUCUUCUUGCUGCAGAUGGUUUGGGGGUGGGGGGAGGGAUGAUCCCUUUGGCAGCCUGGGCUAUUCAUGGCCAGAUGGGAGUUCUGUUCACCUUGUCUGACCAUCACAGGCCAUUGAGUUUCACCUAGAUACAUUUUAUUGAGCCCAAAGUGUUUAGUCAAACCAAAGCACUGGUGUUCUUAGGGUACUAGAUUGUGUUUCAGAAGCAGAGACUGGAAGAGGCUAAUAGUGCAUCCUCUGCAAUGGCAACUGGCUGGUUAGGUAGGAUAGGCUUAGAUGAUCUCAGCAGUUUGUUCUGGGAGAAGAUACUUUCUCCACCCUGAAUUUGGCUGUUAGUUCGAUCCUGAGUGAGAAUUAGAAGCACCUACCAGGAAUUUGAGAGAGUUUGCAUGUUCUGUGCCUCUGCAGCACUUUGGUUCACCUUGUCUGGUGGCCUGUCUCUAGCUAUGGUCACUUGCUGAUGCUUCAAAGGAAAACCUAAAAAGACCCCAGACCUCAGAAUGUGUGUCCAAGUUUGCAGUGGGGGGGGUGGGAUUCCUGUCUUCCUUCACUAGGUGAAUGACUGAAAACCUGAAGCAUGAGAGGUGAUGCUGACCAUUGCCUUCAUACAGAGCUGCAAGUGUUGAGAGCACUGCAAGCAUCUUGUUGUCCCCAAAGGACUGGGUGUGGCUGGGAUGAGUGUGGGGGCUCAGGGCAUGUCUACUCCACAUCCCCAGUGCUUCCAGGAAGGCAUAUCCUUGAACGUGCUCUGCGCACCCAUUCCUGCUUGCAUAUGAUUAACCCAACGAUAUGGUGAUGAAGUUCUCAAGAUGUUGGUCUCUGGUGCAUCUGAGCACAGGCACUGGGAAAGCUACUUCAGCAUGUAUCCACCCUCACCAUCGGGCAAUUGCAUCUGAUUUCAAGGAUGUGUUUGUCUGACUCCAGUUUUCUUCACUGGGUCACACUGGGCCCUUGUCAGCAAGGCUGGAAGAGCCUGUGUUAUCGGAGAUCUCCAGAGGGGCAGCAGCACACGUAGUGAGCAGGUCACCUCUCCAAGGCCUUUUUCAUAGGACAAAUGGCUGGAGCUGCAUGGUGUGAUGGCUUGCUUGUAUGUCCCUCUUGAGCCUCUCUCCAGCAUGUUGUCCUCACCACAGGAAUGAUGUCACCAGAACUGGACAGGUCUCAGCACCAGCUCAGCACUUCCCAGAUGCACAGGCAUAGCCCACUGGUGCUCCACAUCCAUGGAUGCCAGCCCUUUCCCCCACAGCAUGUCCCUGAGAGCUCACAUUGAAGCCAUUAUCUGUCAUGGCCCUGACAUCCUUCUCUGAGUCGCUGCUUUCCAAGGCAGCCCCCUGUCCUUUAGGUGUACCUGCUGUUCCUGUUUCUCAACAGGACUGGAUAGUGUUAAAACUCAUCUCACUAAAUCAUGACCCCUUAACCAGGGGACUCAGCUCACACUACCAUUCCAAUUAUUUACUGCCCCAGCCAGCUCUGUGAGCCUGCAAAGCUAGUGCAUCAUUGUCCAGAUUGCCAAUAAAAAUAAAUACUGUUGGAGCAGGAGCCAGCCCCUUGAGGUCCCUUUGUGAAACAGCCCUGCUGGUUGCAGCCUUCCCAUUAACGACUACACGGUGAAGCCUUUAUACGAGGCAGUUUAUAAUCGAUCUACCAUGUGCCCUGCUAACACCAUAAAAUGAAAGCUUUUCAUCAGCUUGCAGUGUGGUACUAAGUCAAAUGCCUUUGAGAAGUCCAAGUAUAGCCUCUCAACUCCACUUGUCAUCCUGUCGGAAAAGGCAACAGGCUGGAUUGACAACACCAGUCUUCUCCUAUGCUAGCUGGACUGGCCCUAUUUUUUUCAGCCACUGAACAGUUGCUGAUAGAACUGCUGAUGAUUGUCCCCAAUCCAGGGGAGGCAGCUGCGCAGACACCGGCAGGAGAGAAGGGCAAAGUGAGGUGGGCCUUCUCUCGUGUACAUGCCCUCAGUACUGUAAGGCCUAUUUCAAGGCCCCAUUUAAGUGCAUAGUUUGUAUUGAAAAGUAAUUACUUGAGACGUGCUGCUACAAAGGCUGUCGAGGAUGCUCAGUUAUCAAGCACCACUGCAGGGGGGGAAGGCAGGAGAAACAGCAGCAUCCCAUGAGUUAGGUGCCGGAAGGGGCAGGGAAAGGUGGGGUGGGAGGGGGAAAGUUGGCAUUAGCAGAGCUUAGAGCCUUGGUUCUGCCCUUCCAGUGCCCUGGGGAGCAGAGCUGCUGGGCUUUUCUGGUGGUGUGACCCAGAUACAAACACCUAACAUACACAUGGGCCAUCCCACCUCGCACAGGAGGAAAGCUGGUACAUGGAAGGUGUCUGGGGAAUGCAAGCACUGCCUAGCCCUGUUACGUUACUCCAGAAUCUGUGGCACCUACCAGAGCCCCUCUGUCAAGAUGUGCCUGACUCGUCAAUCUAAUAAUGCUCUGACUAAUACCACCUGGCUCUUCCAGUGCAAUGGUCAGCCAUGCAGGUGCAAGCACUUUACCAAUCAAAGUGAAGACACUUGAAAGUCAGGAAAUGCAAAUUGCAAGUUGCCUUGGCAACCCUAAUCCAUCCCGCUUGUGCAUACGCUUCAUGAUACAGCUUCAGCCACUUACUUCCAGGCUGUUUCGCGCGUGGCAGGAUGGCAAAUGAAAUGAUCUCUUUCUGAAAAGCUCCCAGUCCAGGCCUGCAUGCACUGAUACACAUGGUGAGUUUUACUGGUGAGCAUGAUUCUUUGGGACUCUGUGGAUAACCAGCCAUCAGUGAAGCUGCUUUGCUGGUGUUUCUGAGAUGGGGCCCUUAGAGACAGUUCCCUGCAGCAGAGAAUUGCAGUCAGCCAGGGCCAGCAGGGACUUCAAGAGGUUAUGUAAUCUACUGCAACACCCUCCUUGUUGGCAUUGACUUAGCCUGAGAUUGUAAUGGGGCCUAGAGAGACCAGAGUAAUUUAGGGAAGUCAGUUAUCCAGCUUCUUAUGCAGCCCCUGCUUGUCUUCUGUCCAAGCAUUUUUCUCAAUAAACAUUUUAUUUCUGAUUUCCCCAUUCCAGCCAUUGGUAAGGUCUUCUCUGCUACAAUGACAGGUGGGAAAAACAAAAUCCUCAAGGAAAGAACAAGAGAAUAAAGGCACCUCUCCUUCCCAUGUGCAAUCCUUCCCAUUACGUUGGUCACCCUCAAAGGCUUCCAGAAGAGCUACUGCUAGAAGAGCCCAGAGGAAGUGAUGGAGUCAGGAGAGGCAUCGGGAACAAUGACUGUGGUCAGCUGUAACAAGUAUCCGGAAUUCAGAGUGCGUGGUAGAGAGAAGCCCCAAGAAGGACAACAUCAUCAAAGAAGUGAGGGCUUGACGCGUGACUUCGCCAUGACGCCCACUGAAUCCCUGAUAGUUCAAUUCUUUAUUAUGAAUAUAAUUGCGUGUGUACGUGUUUGUGCCGGCUAUUAUUUGAUUCGAUCCCUGGAGGAUGAACUUAUUAUGUUGUCUGAUUUUGUGUUUACCCGUUUAGUUCAACAACCCGUUGUAAGAGCUACUGGCGACCUGAGUGACGAGCAUGUAGUAUAAUUCAGCUGUGCCUUCAGCAAGGGGGGAUGUCAUGACCAAUGAUUGUGUGCACGCUUUGGCACUGCAGAACUAUUUCCAACCACACGGAGCUUUCUUUGCACGGUGCAAUUCUCAGCUGCAGAGAGAAAACCCCGGUGCAAAGGAGUUCCCGCCACCCGUAUGUAAAUUUGUUUCCCACUAUUGGCUAUUUCUAAAUUAUUCCCAUGUGGCGGCUAGCGAUUGGCUUGCUAGUCGUAUAAGAGGUUUGAGCAGUUUCCACCCAAGUUGUAGAGGACUCCACAACCAUCUCGUGGGGACUCUGAGCACGCGGCAGAGUAAUAGAAACUUCGUGUGCGUCUCAGAGGAGUUCAGUGCCCUGAUCGACCACCAACCUCUUCCCGUCUCGUUCGUUAAAUUCUUAAGACGUAUCUACGGUUUUGCGCGCUCGUCAAGGGUAUCCAGAGCUCUGUCGUGUUUGUUUUGCGGAGCCUAGCAAACUCCAUGCAUGUGUCUUCGGUAGAGCCUAGCAAACUCCACUUGUGUUUGUCUGUAACUGCAACUCAAGAAAGUUUUUCCUGCCUGCACCGCAACCACCUACGGUGUAAGUAAAACAAUCUUUAAUUAA